rnacentral:rRNA from 1 species
GAUGAACGCUGGCGGCGUGCCUAAUACAUGCAAGUCGAGCGAACAGAUGAGGAGCUUGCUCCUCUGACGUUAGCGGCGGACGGGUGAGUAACACGUUGAUAACCUACCUAUAAGACUGGGAUAACUUCGGGAAACCGGAGCUAAUACCGGAUAAUAUAUUGAACCGCAUGGUUCAAUAGUGAAAGACGGUUUUGCUGUCACUUAUAGAUGGAUCCGCGCCGCAUUAGCUAGUUGGUAAGGUAACGGCUUACCAAGGCAACGAUGCGUAGCCGACCUGAGAGGGUGAUCGGCCACACUGGAACUGAGACAAGGUCCAGACUCCUACGGGAGGCAGCAGUAGGGAAUCUUCCGCAAUGGGCGAAAGCCUGACGGAGCAACGCCGCGUGAGUGAUGAAGGUCUUCGGAUCGUAAAACUCUGUUAUUAGGGAAGAACAAAUGUGUAAGUAACUAUGCACGUCUUGACGGUACCUAAUCAGAAAGCCACGGCUAACUACGUG